CACCAGACUCCUACGGGAGGCAGCAGUGAGGAAUAUUGGUCAAUGGGCGCGAGCCUGAACCAGCCAAGUCGCGUGAGGGAUGACGGCCCUACGGGUUGUAAACCUCUUUUGUCGGGGAGCAACGAGGCCACGUGUGGCCGAAGUGAGAGUACCCGAAGAAAAAGCAUCGGCUAACUCCGUGCCAGCAGCCGCGGUAAUACGUAGGGGGCAAGCGUUAUCCGGAUUUACUGGGUGUAAAGGGAGCGUAGACGGCAGCACAAGUCUGGAGUGAAAUCCCGGGGCUUAACCCCGGAACUGCUUUGGAAACUGUGCGGCUGGAGUGCAGGAGGGGUAAGCGGAAUUCCUAGUGUAGCGGUGAAAUGCGUAGAUAUUAGGAGGAACACCGGUGGCGAAGGCGGCUUACUGGACUGUAACUGACGUUGAGGCUCGAAAGCGUGGGGAGCAAACAGGAUUAGAUACCCCUGUAGC
rnacentral:rRNA from 1 species